rnacentral:rRNA from 1 species
GAUGAACGCUGGCGGCGUGCCUAAUACAUGCAAGUCGAGCGAACAGACGAGGAGCUUGCUCCUCUGACGUUAGCGGCGGACGGGUGAGUAACACGUGGAUAACCUACCUAUAAGACUGGGAUAACUUCGGGAAACCGGAGCUAAUACCGGAUAAUAUAUUGAACCGCAUGGUUCAAUAGUGAAAGACGGUUUUGCUGUCACUUAUAGAUGGAUCCGCGCCGCAUUAGCUAGUUGGUAAGGUAACGGCUUACCAAGGCAACGAUGCGUAGCCGACCUGAGAGGGUGACCGGCCACACUGGAACUGAGACACGGUCCAGACUCCUACGGGAGGCAGCAGUAGGGAAUCGUCCGCAAUGGGCGAAAGCCUGACGGAGCAACGCCGCGUGAGUGAUGAAGGUCUUCGGAUCGUAAAACUCUGUUAUUAGGGAAGAACAAAUGUGUAAGUAACUAUGCACGUCUUGACGGUACCUAAUCAGAAAGCCACGGCUAACUCCGUG